UAAAAAAUCAUCGCACUCCUUUCCUCCCUCAAGUAUCUUGCAGAAGUUUGCAGACUUUUCAGAUUUAUACUGCAUGCUAUUGCAUAAAUCGAUCUGGCAACCGCGAUACCAUCAAUAAUUCAUUCAACACUGUCAAAAACAUCAGUCCUCAAACUGCAGUGCGGUAGACGGUAAACAGCAUCACAGAGCAACACUAGAUGAAAUCUCUUUUCUCGUGCAAUGACGACUGAGUGCGGAUAGUUGUAGCAAAAUGACACAUUCCACAAAAACAUGUGGCAUCGCUGCUUAUGGGUACUGACAUCAGGAUGUCGCCUUGCUUUGGAGGGACGGAGCUGCGCUCAGCUUCUUAAAACAAUCGAGGACAUUUGGUACCGGAGGCCAAAGUACAUUCUACGUCUGAAGAUGUAAGUUUAUGUUUUUGAUGAUCAGCAGCAGCAGCUUUUGUCAUGGAGCAAAAUCCAUAUUCCAUACAUCAUAAAUGAUGCCAUCGGUCUUAAGAAAAUUAACAAGAACAACAUGCUGGUAAAUAAACCAGCUAAGAAGUGUGAUGUCUUCCUAUCAUCCAAAUCACUGGUCAAACAUAUUUGCCGUUGGACACGUCCAGAUGACUCCAGUCGAGCUGGUUCUGAAUGUACAUCUGUCCACCAGUUUCGCUACUGAAAAGGCACUGGCAGAACGUUUGCUCGCUGCACAUUAAAUCCGCAAUGGGAAGUUCUCAGCGGC